UUUGGCCCUGGGGAGUGUCUCUGGUGAACUUGGAGAUCCGGUGACCAGCCCCCUCCCACUGAAGUGGCCAGUGGGGGCAGACCAGACUAGAUCUCAGGAGAGACCAGCUCUACCCCCACCUCCUCUGCCAGCUGACACCUCCUGGCCUCCUGCUAAAAACAGUCGGUCUCAGGGGGACUAUGGGUUUUCAGGCCUCCCCCUCCACACCCAGGCAGGUAUUAAAGAGGCCGAAGUCAGGCCAGACCGGCUGGACAUCAUGCUAUUCACCGAGACUGCUCACUUCGUGGUGAAUUUUCUUCUAUCCCGGCAGCCCCGGGCCACAACCCCGCACCGCCUGGACCAGGAGUUGUGUUUCUGGGGCAGCCGGGGCCCAGUGUUGCCGGUGUCCGCCGCCCGCCGCAGCCUGGGCGACUACUGGCUGAGCCCGCAGCGCCGCCACCCUCCGGGCGCCGCCUGGCGCUGGCCGGCACGCAAACUGCUACUGCUGCCCGGGGACACAAGCCUGGCCGACGUGCCCUCGGCACGCUGGCCUAGCUGCUAUGGCGCACGCCCGAGACUCACGUGGAAGCACCGGUGGCAGAAUAUUAACUACUAUUUUCUGGGCAAAAGGAAGAGACACCUAGUUCCCUUGCGCCCGUGAGAGCCGGUGAGGGGCGGGGCCACAGGGGGCGCGGUCGGUGGGCGGGCCCUCGUUGAGGGCGGGGGUGGGGCGGGGCCUAGCCAGAGGGCGUGGGGGAGGGGCGAGGCCCGAGCUGGACGUCGGCCCGCUGCAGUCGAGGCCUCCGAGGCUCUAGGACCCUUGUGGGGUUGAGCCGCAGGCAGAGGGGCCCCGUGUGCGGGGUGUGGUCUUUGCAGGGUUAUUUUUCUCUGCCCUUCUUGGGCCUACACAAACAUACUUUUUAAAAGAUUGACGAAUUUGACUACUUUGAAAUUUCUGUUCAUCAGAAGACACCCCAACAAAGUAGAGGAGCCCCAAACAGGACUCCUCAAACAUAAUACCAGCUCUGUGCCCGAUGCAGGGAGUCAGAGACCAGGAAGGUGGUGCACUUGAGUGGGCACCAACUGGGUCCCAGGACAAAGGUGACUCCAGCCGUGGACCUAGAAGCUAAGCUGAAUGACGGAAGGGAAAGGAGGCGCGGGGUCAAUUUGAAGGACCCUGCCGUGGCGAUCAUCCUAUGUGUCUGUGUUCACACUUCUGUGCAUCUCUGAAAGUCUGUCCCACCGCUGAGUUUGGCUCUGUUUCUAUGUGUCUUGUCUCUGAUCUCUGUGUCUAUUUAGUCAACAAAUAUUUAUCAAGGGCUUGGCCAGGCCUGGUGGCUCUCGCCUGUAAUCCCAGCACUUUGGGAGGCUGAGGCGGGCAGAUCGCUUGAGGCCAGGAGUCCAUGGUGAAACCCCAUCUCUACUAAAAAUAGGAAAAAUUAGCCAGGUGUGGUGAUGAGUACCUGUAGUGUCAGCUACUCGGGAGGCUAAGAUGGGAGGGUCACUUGAGCCCAGGAGGCAGAGAUUGCAGUGAGCCGAGGUCGUACCACUGCCCUCCAGCCUGGGCAAUUGAGCAGACCUUGUCUCAAAAAGACAAAAAGAAAUAUUUACCACGGGCCUAUUUUAGUAGUUUGUGACAGGUUUAUAUGCUGAAUUAUUCACUGGGUUUAUACUGGUGAAGCAAACAGUUGAGGUCCCUGCCCUCAUGGAGCAUACAUUCUGGUAGGGAGACAGGCCAUAAUCUGGAGAAACAGUGUGUUAUGUUUGAGAAGAGGGCUGGGCCAGGUGCUACUUGAUACGGGAUGGGCAGGGACCAGGUGUUGUUCACAGGUUAGAACAGUGCCUAACACAUAGCUGAGGCACAGUAAAUGCUGAAAGAAUGCAUGCAUUGUCGGGAGAUCCCCUCUGAGGAGGUGAGUCUUAGACUAGGCUAGGAAGGAUAGUCAGCCACUUCCAGAGCCUGGAAGGAGUGUUCUGGGUGGAGGGAACAGUGUAGUCUAGUUGGUGACCACUUGCCUCUGGCUCUCUGUGCCUGGAGAAUCGUGUUUCUGUGUCUUUUUUGUCUGUAGUCUCUGUGAUCAUGGGAGCCCUGGGGCCAGUUUAAACAGGGCCCCAUCAGGGUCUCUGGAAGUGAGAUCACUGCGCAGCAGAUUCACGCCACUGGAUAACUCUGGCUUAACUGGCUGGGCCUGGCCAUUCCCCUGGAAACAACUCCUCCCCCCAAUGGCAUCAGUCCCACGACCUCUGGCUCCUUCCCAGGGCAGCAUCCUGCAGUCCGGAAGGAAGUUCUUCGUCCUGUCUAACCACAGUCUCUGCUGAAGCAACCCCAGCCUUUUCCUCUCAUUCUGCCUUGUGGGCAGAAGGGAGGAGAUGGGCUGGCCCUUCAGCAACAGGUCCUGCCUGGACAGAGAGCCCAGUAAAGACCUGAUAGAGUGGGGGUGACAACCCCCUGCAGCCUUGGGGAAGUGAACUUCAAAGGGCAGAAAUAAUCACUCAUCUCAGAAGCUUCUUUGGCAUCCAUUAUCUCAUUUAAUCAAUUAACACCUACUUUAUAGACGGAAACUCAGGCAGGCAGGGGCGGGGGACUGGGCAUGGGUGGGGGGGUGGAACAGUGGCAGAACUGGGACCAGAAUCCAGGUCUCUUGAUAAAAUAGUAACAAAUAAUUACUAUUAUUGCACAUUUACUCUUUGCCAGGUUAUGUGCUAAAACUGCAUGCAUUUUCUUCUUUAAGCCUCAUCAGAUCCCCAUGAGGUGGGUACCCUCAUUAUUCUCGGUGUCCUCAGAUGAGGAGGUGGAGGCUCAGCGCUGUUACACCAUUUGUCCAAAGACACCCAGCCUUCAUGGCAGGACAGGAUUUGAACCCAGGCAGCCUGGCAUGCCUAGCCAUGCUCCCUGGGCCCUGGGGACUCCAGAGAAGUGUCACAGAUGUCUGUUUACAGGGACUUGGGGAGACAGGCUUCAGGCUCCAUCGCAUGAUGAUCCUGGGGGGGACCAGUGCCAAGGCUAGGCUGAGAAGGAAGAUGGCCUAGACAUGCAGCAUGAUCCAGAGUCCCCUCUGUGGACGAAGAUGAGUCCCCUUUGCCCUCCCUCCUGAGAUCUCUGUGGUUCUGCCCUUCAUUUUCCAAAUAAAUUCUCUGCAACCUCACUCUGGCUCUCUCUACUUUGAGGGGAUCUCAGUUU
ensembl:lincRNA